rnacentral:rRNA from 1 species
USGGRSGGUAGCACAGRRAGCUUGYUCUCGGGUGACGAGUGGCGGACGGGUGAGUAAUGUCUGGGGAUCUGCCCGAUAGAGGGGGAUAACCACUGGAAACGGUGGCUAAUACCGCAUAACGUCGCAAGACCAAAGAGGGGGACCUUCGGGCCUCUCACUAUCGGAUGAACCCAGAUGGGAUUAGCUAGUAGGCGGGGUAACGGCCCACCUAGGCGACGAUCCCUAGCUGGUCUGAGAGGAUGACCAGCCACACUGGAACUGAGACACGGUCCAGACUCCUACGGGAGGCAGCAGUGGGGAAUAUUGCACAAUGGGCGCAAGCCUGAUGCAGCCAUGCCGCGUGUAUGAAGAARGCSUUCKGGUUKUAAARUAYUUU